rnacentral:snRNA from 1 species
GUGCUCACUUAAGCGGCACAUAUACAAAUAAUUUUAAUGAUAUAGAAGAUUAGCAUGACCUUUACACAAGUAUAACACACAAAUUCGUGAAGUAUUAAACAAACAA